rnacentral:rRNA from 1 species
UACCAGCACCCCGAGUGGUCGGGACGUUUUAUUGGGCCUAAAGCAUCCGUAGCCGGUUCUACGAGUCUUCCGUUAAAUCCAACUGCUUAACAGGUGGGCUGCGGAAGAUACUAUAGAGCUAGGAGGCGGGAGAGGCAAGCGGUACUCGAUGGGUAGGGGUAAAAUCCGUUGAUCCAUUGAAGACCACCAGUGGCGAAGGCGGCUGCCAGAACGCGCUCGACGGUGAGGGAUGAAAGCUGGGGGAGCAAACAGGAUUAGA